rnacentral:rRNA from 1 species
UACGUAGGGCGCAAGCGUUGUCCGGAAUUAUUGGGCGUAAAGAGCUCGUAGGCGGUUUGUCACGUCGGAUGUGAAAGCCCGGGGCUUAACCCCGGGUCUGCAUUCGAUACGGGCAGACUAGAGUGUGGUAGGGGAGAUCGGAAUUCCUGGUGUAGCGGUGAAAUGCGCAGAUAUCAGGAGGAACACCUGAGGUGAAGACGGGUUGCUGGGCCGACACUGACGCUGAUAGCGCGAAAGCCAGGGGAGCAAACGGG